rnacentral:rRNA from 1 species
GAUGAACGCUGGCGGCGUGCCUAAUACAUGCAAGUCGAGCGAACAGACGAUGAGCUUGCUCCUCUGACGUUAGCGGCGGACGGGUGAGUAACACGUGGAUAACCUACCUAUAAGACUGGGAUAACUUCGGGAAACCGGAGCUAAUACCGGAUAAUAUAUUGAACCGCAUGGUUCAAUAGUGAAAGACGGUUUUGCUGUCACUUAUAGAUGGAUCCGCGCCGCAUUAGCUAGUUGGUAAGGUAACGGCUUACCAAGGCAACGAUGCGUAGCCGACCUGAGAGGGUGAUCGGCCACACUGGAACUGAGACACGGUCCAGACUCCUACGGGAGGCAGCAGUAGGGAAUCUUCCGCAAUGGGCGAAAGCCUGACGGAGCAACGCCGCGUGAGUGAUGAAGGUCUUCGGAUCGUAAAACUCUGUUAUUAGGGAAGAACAAAUGUGUAAGUAACUAUGCACGUCUUGACGGUACCUAAUCAGAAAGCAACGGCUAACUACGUG